GACGAACGCUGGCGGCGUGCUUAACACAUGCAAGUCGAACGGAAAGGCCCUGCUUUUGUGGGGUGCUCGAGUGGCGAACGGGUGAGUAACACGUGAGUAACCUGCCCUUGACUUUGGGAUAACUUCAGGAAACUGGGGCUAAUACCGGAUAGGAGCUCCUGCUGCAUGGUGGGGGUUGGAAAGUUUCGGCGGUUGGGGAUGGACUCGCGGCUUAUCAGCUUGUUGGUGGGGUAGUGGCUUACCAAGGCUUUGACGGGUAGCCGGCCUGAGAGGGUGACCGGCCACAAUGGGACUGAGAUACGGCCCAGACGCCUACGGGAGGCAGCAGUGGGGAAUAUUGCACAAUGGGCGGAAGCCUGAUGCAGCGACGCCGCGUGCGGGAUGACGGCUUUCGGGUUGUAAACCGCUUUCGCCUGUGACGAAGCGUGAGUGACGGUAAUGGGUAAAGAAGCAACGGCUAACUACGUG
rnacentral:rRNA from 1 species